rnacentral:tRNA from 1 species
UAGAUGUAUAGCUCAGUAGGAAGAGUAUCACGUUGACAUCGUGAAGGUCGCCUGUUCAAACCAGGCUACAUCUAG